rnacentral:rRNA from 1 species
GAUGAACGCUGGCGGCGUGCCUAAUACAUGCAAGUCGAGCGAACGGACGAGAAGCUUGCUUCUCUGAUGUUAGCGGCGGACGGGUGAGUAACACGUGGAUAACCUACCUAUAAGACUGGGAUAACUUCGGGAAACCGGAGCUAAUACCGGAUAAUAUUUUGAACCGCAUGGUUCAAAAGUGAAAGACGGUCUUGCUGUCACUUAUAGAUGGAUCCGCGCUGCAUUAGCUAGUUGGUAAGGUAACGGCUUACCAAGGCAACGAUGCAUAGCCGACCUGAGAGGGUGAUCGGCCACACUGGAACUGAGACACGUUCCGGACUCCUACGGGAGGCAGCAGUAGGGAAUCUUCCGCAAUGGGCGAAAGCCUGACGGAGCAACGCCGCGUGAGUGAUGAGGGUCUUCGGAUCGUAAAACUCUGUUAUUAGGGAAGAACAUAUGUGUAAGUAGCUGUGCACAUCUUGACGGUACCUAAUCAGAAAGCCACGGCUAACUACGUG